rnacentral:misc_RNA from 1 species
AACAUCGCGCACCUGCGGGAACCUGCGGAAGGAUCAUUAAUGAUUGGUGGCUGUUGCUGACUAGUGUUUCUAGUAUGUGCACGCCACACCUUCAAUCCCACUUACACCUGUGCACCCUCUGUAAUAGAUCUAUGUGGAUACGGAGAUAUGAAAGUUUGCGCUCUCGUACUCUGUUGAAGCAGUCUACUACGUUUUUUUACACACACACAAUAGUCAUUGAAUGUAUUUUUUAUUCUUAUG